rnacentral:lncRNA from 1 species
GUGCCCGGCCUGGGCGGCGGUAGCGGAGCGGAGGAGGGAGGGCUGCUCCCGCCCCGCUCCGCAGCGGCCCCGGCCCGGCCCUUACCGAUGCACCGCACGUAGUGUUUUGCAGGAAGUUUCCACGCUCCUGGGUUUAAUCCGCGAAAAGCGGGGCUGGAGAAGAGCGCGGCUGAAUAGCGAUGGAAAGGGGCGGGCGAAGAGGUGGAGGAGGAGGCGGUAGCAGCAGCGGCCGUGUUUAAUUUUUUAAUUAGGGCGGUUUGAGCAUCUCCCGGCGGGGUCGCAUCGCCGGGCGGCGAGGGGAGCCCGAGCGAGCUGCCCCCGCCGCCCGGGAGCACGCCGUAGCCCGAGCCGCCGGGACUCCGGGCUGGGCUUUGGACAGCGGGAGCCGGAGGCGCGGAGCUCCGCGCUCCGCCGCCAUGGGCAGCGCGGGCGCGCAGGACAAGGAAGGUCAAACUUAAUAGAAAAAGUGGAAGUAUGCCCAAUGAAAAUCCAUAUAGCAGGCAAAGAAGCAAUAGAGGUGAAAAUCCCUCAGAG